AUUGAACGCUGGCGGCAGGCCUAACACAUGCAAGUCGAGCGGAUGAAGGGAGCUUGCUCCUGGAUUCAGCGGCGGACGGGUGAGUAAUGCCUAGGAAUCUGCCUGGUAGUGGGGGAUAACGUCCGGAAACGGGCGCUAAUACCGCAUACGUCCUGAGGGAGAAAGUGGGGGAUCUUCGGACCUCACGCUAUCAGAUGAGCCUAGGUCGGAUUAGCUAGUUGGUGGGGUAAAGGCCUACCAAGGCGACGAUCCGUAACUGGUCUGAGAGGAUGAUCAGUCACACUGGAACUGAGACACGGUCCAGGGGCCUACGGGAGGCAGCAGUAGGGAAUAUUGGACAAUGGGCGAAAGCCUGAUCCAGCCAUGCCGCGUGUGUGAAGAAGGUCUUCGGAUUGUAAAGCACUUUAAGUUGGGAGGAAGGGCAGUAAGUUAAUACCUUGCUGUUUUGACGUUACCAACAGAAUAAGCACCGGCUAACUUCGUG
rnacentral:rRNA from 1 species